rnacentral:rRNA from 1 species
UACAGAGGUGGCAGGCGUUGUUCGGAAUUACUGGGCGUAAAGGGCGCGUAGGCGGCCUUCUAAGUCAGACGUGAAAUCCCCCGGCUUAACCUGGGAACUGCGUCUGAUACGGGCAGACUAGAGUUCGGUAGGGGAGUCUGGAAUUCCUGGUGUAGCGGUGAAAUGCGCAGAUAUCAGGAGGAACACCGGUGGCGAAGGCGGGUCUCUGGGCCGAUACUGACGCUGAGGAGCGAAAGCGUGGGGAGCGAACAGG